CCUGCCCCUAAGUCUGGGAUACCAUUUGGAAACAGGUGCUAAUACCGGAUAAUAAAGGGAAUCGCAUGAUCAGCUUUUGAAGGGCGGCGUAAGCUGUCGCUAAGGGAUGGCCCCGCGGUGCAUUAGCUAUUUGGUAAGGUAACGGCUUACCAAGGCAACAAUGCAUACCUGAGUUGAAAGACUGAUCGGUCACAUUGGGACUGAGACACGGCCCAAACUCCUACGGGAGGCAGCAGUAGGGAAUCUUCCACAAUGGACGCAAGUCUGAUGGAGCAACGCCGCGUGAGUGAAGAAGGUUUUCGGAUCGUAAAGCUCUGUUGUUGGUGAAAAAGGAUAGAGGUAGUAACUGGCCUUUAUUUGACGGUAAUCAACCAGAAAGUCACGGCUAACUACGUGCC
rnacentral:rRNA from 1 species